rnacentral:rRNA from 1 species
AUUGAACGCUGGCGGCAGGCCUAACACAUGCAAGUCGAACGAGUGGCGGACGGGUGAGUAAUGUCUGGGAAACUGCCUGAUGUAGGGGGAUAACUACUGGAACCGGUAGCUAAUACCGCAUACCAUCGGAUGUGCCCCGAUGGGAUUAGCGAGCAGCUGUGGUAAAGGCUCACCUAGGCGCCGAUCCCUAGCUGGUCUGAGAGGCUGACCAGCCACACUGGAACUGAGACACGGUCCAGACUCCUACGGGAGGCAGCAGUGGGGAAUAUUGCACAAUGGGCGCAAGCCUGAUGCAGCCAUGCCGCGUGUAUGAAGAAGGCCUUCGGGUUGUAAAGUACUUUCAGCGGGGAGGCGUUACCCGCAGAAGAAGCACCGGCUAACUCCGUGCCAGCAGCCGCGGUAAUAC